rnacentral:lncRNA from 1 species
CUUAAAACAAACAUAGUGAACAAAUCAUCAUCAGAAACAACACAACACAGGACACCAAAAUGUUAGGAUUCAAACCAAAAUACUAGUAGGAUAAACCACCAGUUUAGUCCUUAAAGUAUCAUUGUUUCUCCAAUUUAGCCUAAGUAUUUAAAAUCCAUCAGGUUAGUCCCUACUAUUAAGAUCUUAUGCUAAAUUGAUUGAUUUUCAUAUACUCUUUCGACUAAAUUGACGUAUUUCAUAUAUUUUAGGACUACUUAUUAUUUUUAUAUACUUUGGGAACUAAAUUGAUGGUUUAUUUGUUACGACUAUAUCAUGAUAACCACUUACCGCGGGUGUUGCAGCUCGUUUGGUGAGAGGAUAUAGAUGUGUCCCUGGUCCUCCUCCCAAUACAAUGGAAAUCACAUUUUUUGGAUCAGCCCUUAGUCUCAUAAAUGAAGGCACUUGCAAGUUCUGAAAUUCAAAACACACUCUAAUCAUAAUCAUAUCCCAAAUAAAAAUGUAGCCACAUAAUUCACAUAAACAAAGUAAAAAUAGAAUUACCUAACUUUACAAUUAUGUCAUGCAAAAAUGAUCGAAAUUCAUAUUUUUUUUUUUCUCUCUCUCAGAAUUGGGAGCAAAAAGUGAAGCCUACAAUGAAAUUGAGCUUACCAAGGAACCUUUGGGAUCAUCUGAAGUAAGAAUAGCAGAUACAGCAACAUGUUUGAUCUUCUUCUGAUUUGUGAAACGUUCAUUCAACUGAUCCGUGAC